rnacentral:lncRNA from 13 species
CACUUGCAGGACUCGCGUUUUUCACCAGGAAGUUACCCAGUCAACACAAGCACGUGGGCUCGCCGACGGCGCUUUACGGCGAAGGCAAAGUGCCAUAAAGCAGAUCCGCUUUACGUCGCGCUCGUGCGACAGGCUUAGAACGUCCGGUUCCCCAUUCUGCCCCCUACCGCGGCUCUUUGAAAGCACGCGCGCUUGUUCCCAUUUGUUCUCAGAGCCCCAGAACGUGAGCAGCUGAGGGUAGGUGGGAGCUUCCUGGGUUACGUGGGUCGGGAGGCAUGAGCUUUGUGUUUGUGUUUUGGUUAUGGAAAUAAGUGCGUAAAUGUGUAGUAGUGGAGAUAGUCGAAUGCAGUGACUUUACAGUAUACUGCAAUAAAAAUAUUAAUCCACAUUUAAGGAUGCUUCAACAUCUCACUUCAUCAUCACGACAGUGUACAAAUAGGUCUUGUUAAUAAGCCUGAUGUUGCAGAUGAGGAAGCUGAUGCUUAGAAAGGAUAGCACGCUAGCAAGAGAAGAGAGAAAAACCUUAAUUGAUGCAACCACAUGCUUUUACACAUUAGGGUCUGCCACUUGCGUGUGUUACAUCAAGCAUGGGGCCCACAAGUCUGAGAUUCCCAGCCUAACCCAACUCUCGCGUUUUCUAAAAUGGUUAUUGACCUUGAAUGAUCAUCUUAAACAUUCCUCUCUCUCCCUUUGAGAAGACUUCUGCUGAGAAAAUGCCCAGAGGGUCAUGUGAUCUGAAGACCCUGAAAGAUGUAAAUGAUUCACCUGCGACCAAGGGGCCAUCAGUGGUUCUACAUCCUGUGAUGGGUUGGGCAUGGGGCCCUCCAGCUGGUCACAAUUUGUAAAAAGCCUCAGCUUUCUCAAUGAAUGGGGACAAAAUGUGAACAUGAAAAAAGAUGGCUGUAAAUGAACUCAGAUAAUGCAUGAAUUCAUGCUUAAUAAGCAAUAGUUUGUAUUCCAGUUGUUGUUAUUAUUAAUAUUUCAAAUGGAGGCAACUUCGUUAAAGAUGGUAGAUCAGCAGGUGCAAACUAUAUUCAAGGAAGACUAAUUUAUUAUGGUUGAAGGGUAGCGAAAUGGUAGAAGAUAUGGUUGGAAAAGUAGACUAGGGCCAGAGAGGGGCCUUCUCACUGGUCUUUCUCUGCCUGACCUUUGUCUCCCUUCUAGCUUAAGCAUAGCAGCCUGUGCUUAGUCUCUGGUGCAAAACAAGUUACCUACAUCACUUCUCUGCUCAAAAGCUUCCAGUGGCUCCUCCUCACUCUCAGAGUAAGAGUUGUUACCUCUCAGACCUCAUAUGCCCCACGCCCAACUCUCCCCUUGCUCCAGCCACACUGGCCUCCCUGCUGGUCCUUUCAUGGGGCAAGUAUGUUCCUGUCCUGGGUUCAAAUUAUUCUCCUGCCUCAACCUCCCUAGUAGCUGGGACUACAGGUGCAUGCUACCAUGCCCAGCUAAGUUUUGUAUUUUUAGUAGAGAUGGGUUUCACCAUAUUGGCCAGGCUGGUCUUGAACUCCUGACCUUGUGAUCUUCCCACCUCAGCCCCCCAAAGUGCUGGGAUUACAGGCGUGAGCCACCUUGCCCAGCCCAGCUCCUCCAUCACAUUCUUAGAGCUUUGUUUAAAUGACAUCUUUCCCCUGGUUAGUCCAUCUGAAAUUUGCAUCCACUCCACCCCCUCCUAAUCUUUUCCAGUUGCCCUGUUGUCCUUCUUAGAACUUAACCUGGACUAACAUACUUUUUAUCUUGUUUAUUGCCUGUCUCCCCAGCUAGAAUGUAAGCACCAUGAGGGCAGAAAUUUUUGUCUCUCUUGCUCACUGCUGUGUCCCUGGCACCUAGAGCAGAAAUUGGGCACACAGUAGAUAAACAAUAGGCAUUUGUUGGAUGAGAGAAUAAGGUUUCUUGACUCAGUAAGCACUAGGAAAUCACAGAAUGUUUUUGAGCAGGACAGGGAUGGGACUGGAGCUCACAAAGGGCUAUAGAAGAGAUUGGAGUGGGCCUGGAAGCUGGGAAAUGGUCACAACAGCAGAAAGACACAUAUGUGAAAGUUUAAACAGAAGGCUUUCAUAGAAAUAGGAGACAAUAUGUUUCCAAAGGGGGGCGAUUUUUCUGGUGUAUAGUGCUCAAUAAAUAUUUACUGAAGGAAUCA